AGCAGUUAAGCACUCGGCUGCUAACCGAAAGGUCGGUGGUUCAAACCCACUAGUUGCUC
rnacentral:tRNA from 1 species